rnacentral:rRNA from 1 species
AAUGAACGUUGGCGGCAUGGAUUAGGCAUGCAAGUCGGGGGAAUCCCAGCAAUGGGGGAACCGGCGUAAGGGGCAGUAAGGCAUGGGUACCUACCUUGGGGUUCGGGAUAGCCAUCAGAGAUGGUGGGUAAUACCGGAUGACGUCGUGAGACCAAAGAUUUAUCGCCCUUAGAGGGGCCCAUGUGAUAUUAGCUAGUUGGUGGGGUAACGGCCCACCAAGGCGAAGAUGUCUAGCGGGUGUGAGAGCACGACCCGCGCCACUCGCACUGAAACACUGGCGAGACUCCUACGGGUGGCUGCAGUCGAGGAUCUUCGGCAAUGAGCGCAAGCUUGACCGGGCGAUGCCGCGUGGGCGAUGAAGGCCUUCGGGUUGUAAAGCUCUUUAGUGGGGGAGAAAAGCCGCAAGGUGUGAUCUAUCCCAAAAAUAAGCACGGGCUAAGUUCGUGCCAGCAGCCGCCGUAA